CGGGGCCGGGCCGGGGCUGGGCCCGCCUCUGAGGGUCGCUGGGAAUGUCAGACCGAAACCGCGCCUUGCUGCUUGUGCGCACGGGGGGUUCCCACAGAUACCCCUCUGCGUUACUUUGUCCCGAUCGCAGCACGGUCUAUCUCACGCCAGCAGGGUUUGGAACGGUCUCCCAAGAUUAAUGCCGUGAUUGAGGUGAAAGGCAUAUACCAGGUGUCUUCUUUCCUUCCUCUUCUUUCGUGUGAAACAUCUUUUCCAGCCACAUUUUUCAGUUUUGAGUUUUCUGUCGUUACUCUGCAACAGUGGGAAAAACGCCCUGCCUCGUCGAAAUGUAUGCUGAAGUACAAGCACAUAAAUAGCUGAAGUACUUAACUGCUCGUACUUAACGAAAAGGAAUUCCUGAUUAAUAUUUCAGUUGAAUAACGUAAUUUAAGAUUCUCUGGGGAAUGCUCUGCAUCCUCUUCCCUCUCCCUACCUGUAACUGAGAAUUUUGUUUAAUAAAAGCAAGAAUGUUGCCUCCUUCUUUCUCUUUUAUGGAGACCAUAAAAAGCCAGUGGAGUGAAGUACUGGAGGAGACCUUUAAGGGCAAGAACACUGUGAGGCAGCACAGUGUUAUCUUUGGCAGGUGUUUAUCAGACCUGUCCAUAAAAACCUGCUCUCUACGAUGUUUAAUAAUGAUGAGAAAGAUAUUUAUAUCAUCUAAUCCAUACAUAAUGAAAAUAUUAAUUUUAAAAAAUCAGUUUUGACCCGGCCACACACUUUCCUUUGGACCUGUCACCUGUCUUUCCUAGCGUGCUCCAACUCCCAGCCUUUCGCCCACUCCAUCUCCCACAGCAAACAAAACUCCAGGAUCCCUUAUGCCUGGACGCUUGACAUCCAGCUGAUGCAUGGUUUUAGCCAUUUAUUUAAAUUUCUGUCUGUCCGUAUCCUCCAAACAGGGAGCCCGCUGUGGGAGCGCUUUCCCACAGAAGGGAAAAAAGCGGGGAGGGGACCCCGCGGCAAAGGGUGCUGCCGGGUCCCUCCGGACCUCUGGGGAGAUUGGUUACUCGUUCCCGAUCCCGCUAGAUGGCACUGGCCGCCACGCUAAGUGGAGCAUCCCAGACGGAGCUGCCGUCCGCCCAGUGGCUUCUGGAGGGCGUCGACGGGAGGGAUGGAGGCGAUGGGAACGUGCUCCCUCUUUCCCGUGCAGCACUGCACUGGGUGGAGUCCUGCUCCUGCCUCACCCGGCACCGAGCUUUGGACGCCGAACACCAUUGACAGAAAGAUUCAGUGCCUCUGGACGAGCACAGGGAGGCAAAUUUGUUUCUCUCAGCUCUUGGAUACAGAAGUCUUCUGGGCCUGCCUGCUUAGCUGGUAUCCCUCAGUGCUGCAGAGCUCGUGAGUACAGGACAGGGAGCCUGCCCGGGUGUAGGCACCCGCUCGAUGCAAGGGAAGGACUAGAGGCCCUGGGGAGGCAUUUCUCCUUGGAGGGAAUGCAACAAAGUGCAUGAAGUGCAUGCUGCAUUUCUCACCUGAACAGUGGCCACGUUUUGUGAAAGCGCAGCAGAGCAGAUUUGGGAAGAAUUUGAGGAAGGAUAAUUAGGUUAGUUCAGCACUUGUUUAGUGUCUGACUCCU